CCUCUAAUAGCUCAGUUGGUAGAGCACUCGUCUAUUUAACGAGAGGUCUCCAGUUCGAUUCUGGGUGGAGGC
rfam:Phlebotomus papatasi Contig3616.5, whole genome shotgun sequence.